CAUGUUUUGUGGGAGAGAAGUCGUCGUAGUAUAAAAAGUGUAAUUCUUAUGUCAUGUUUUGUGGGAGAGAAGUCUUUUUAGUAUCAAUAUUAUAAUUCUUUUGUCAUGUUUUAUUGGAGACAAAUUUUCGUAGUAUCAAUAUUAUAAUUAUUUUGUCAUGUUUUGUAGGAGAGAAGUCUUCGAAGUAUCAGUAUUGUAAUUCUUUUGUCGUUUUUUGUAGGAGAUAAGUCUUCUUAGUAUCAGUAUUGUAAUUCUUUUGUCA
rnacentral:lncRNA from 1 species